GGCGGCAUAGCCAAGUAGUAAGGCAUCGAUCUGCAAAAUCGAUAUACAUGGGUGCAAUUCCCAUUGCCGCCUCCA
rnacentral:tRNA from 1 species